AUUUGAUGAGGACAAGAAGGCACAACAAUCCCAGGAAAGGUUCGAAGCACGUAGUUGCAAAGCUAAUAUUCAGAAGUUCAGUUCGUGAGAUAGCUCCCCGGACCANAUAUUUUUGAUAGAUUCNUAGUACNGACCUUCCGUUCAGUGUAGGGAAGGGAUUUGCCCCAAGCCAACAAGGAAGCAAAGUACCCGUGCUAUCAAUACAAGUAUAAGCCGGAUCGUACCACAUGGGAGCAGGAUCCGCGUUCCACCUCUAAACCAUAGGAUCGGGCAAUUAGAAUCAUGCCACUUUUUUAUGGCAGGUUGAAGUUUCAGGCCAAGGGCGAAAGCAACUAUGACUGACAUCCUUAGAUGAGCUUCAGGCCACUUGACCAAUAGGCAAGCUCAAGUAGCUUUCAAUCGGGGAGGAUCAAGUCCAAAAGAAAGAGUGAAGGAUCUGUCUUUUUUCCCAUCAAGUAGCUUUCAAUCGGGGAGGAUCAAGUCCAAAAGAAAGAGUGAAGGAUCUGUCUUUUUUCCCAACUGUAUGAAGAAACCAAGCCAAUCGAAACCGAUUCAAGAGCCUUUUUUUUAUGUUCUUUUAUUAUUACUUUUGCUCUGACUUAUUAUGAUUCCAUAUCAACUGGAUGGUUGGGAUGAACGAGAUGAAUGAGUUUACAAGAUGGUCAGGAUGAGACAGUCUGACUAAGAUGAAUGGGAUGAUCGAGUUGGUUACAAGGAAUGUGAUGACUCGUAUAGAUUGGAAGGAUAGACUGACAAGAUGAGUGAGUUGGAUAAGAUGGAGAGACUGAUAGAACAAAAUGAAUGAGAUGGUAGAACUAGAUAAAAAUAGACAUAUUGAUUGAGAUAAACAGAAUGAACCAACCUUACUAAAUAAUCAAAAUAGAAACUAAAUAGAUAAUCGAGAUAAACACGAAGAACAUAUUUACAUAAUAAUUAAAAUGGAUCAAAUGACUAAUUGUUGAGAUAAACAAACUAGUCAAUCUUAAUGAAUUGGAUGACCAGAUUGACAUAUACACGUAUUGAUGAAAUAAACGGAUUGAUGAAAAUGAAAGAACUUGUUAUAUUAGUUGCCAUGCUUAUUUUUUGUCCUCCCUACUUAAAAGAAAAUUAAAAUAAAGAAAUUAAACCAUAUCCUCCCUUUCUAAACAUGUAUAAAAUAUAUAAAAAGUAAAAUGUUAUUUGGUUUUAUUUGAAAACUGUUAUAUUUUUAUUUUCUGAAAACCUUAUUUGAGUAUAAUGG
rnacentral:lncRNA from 1 species